UACGGAGGAGGCUGGUGUUAUUCGCAUUGACUGGGUGUAAAGGGUGCGUAGGUGGCUUAUUAAGUUUAAAGGGUAAAAGUUAAACAUAAAGUUUAAAAACCUCUCAAUACUAAUAGGCUAGAGUUUAUUGGAAGAUGGCUGUACAUUAAGUGUAAAGGUGAAAUUUUUCGAUAUUUAAAGGACAUUCAAUAGGCGAAGGCUGCUGUCUACUUUAAUACUGACAC
rnacentral:rRNA from 1 species